CUUAAAGGAGUCUCUUUAAAAGCUUCCAGAGCCGAUUAUAUUUUGGAUUGUGUUUCAAAUCACCCUUCCCCCCCAGGUUUGGUGGGUCCUCAGACAAGUUCCCAGAAUAAAUUAGACAUAACGGUAGCAGGAUUUAUUAUUAUUUUUUUUUUUUACUUGAGAAGGAGGAAGGAAUAAAUGACACCAAUUUCUGUAAUGGAAAGAAAAAAAGAAAAAAGUGUAUAUCGGAAACUGCUGCUGAGUGACUCAUGCUGCCAGACAAACGGAACCUCACUCAUCACUCCAUCUUCAUCCUCCUCUGGUUACUUCUCCUUCCACCUGGAGAUGCCUUGAGUUUGACUGACUACGCAUGGUGUGAGAGGAGGAAGAAUGAACGUCAUUUCAUUUUAUUAAAACCAGAAAGGAGGCUGCUGGCCACUUUGCUCAACAUCCUCAUCAGUACUUUCC
rnacentral:lncRNA from 1 species